GGCUGCUGCGUCCCCUGUAGUUGCCUGCAUCCCGGGCUACCUGCACCCGUCCCAGCCUUACUCUGCGCGUCACUGUGAGCGCAGGAGUGCGUGGUCCUUGAUCUCUUCCAUGCACUCUAGUCAAUCCGCACACACGCAUAUGGCCAAAUUGUUAACUGCCGCAGGGUUGCUCCGUGCAGUUGCAGCAGCAAGGCAGGCAGCAGUCCACCACCAUGGCUGCUGGAUGCUGCUGCUGCCGCCGCCGUUGCCCCAAGAUGCUCCACGGAUCGCCUGUUGUUUACCGGACCAGGAUCAAUCAUUGCUGGUGUAACCCAAUGACGUAUUGGUGUGAGAGUGAGGUUUCUGGUGGUAUUCCUCGCAAGGAUGCCGGGGCGGUGUGGGUGUUCGGCCGGUGCAGCGCCGGUGUGCCCGGGACCUGUUCGGCAGAAUUCCCCAUCGGGGUCCCUAGCGCCGGAGCCCGGGCAUGGGUGCCUGCUCUUCACAGAGCAGCGGAUGAGAGAGCUGUGGAUUGCAUGCUAAGCAAGACGGGGCAGGCUGCCCGGUGUGACGGAUCAAUGAUAUGGUAUGGCCACCUUGCAGAGCAGAUUGAUCGACCGACGACCACCAACAGCUGCCACAAGCAGCUUAGAAUUGGCGGCGUGGCACAUUGUAACUCUGAACUGUGUCAUUAUCCAUGGAUUUGGAUGAAUGAUGCUUGGGUGCUGAACGUGGGUGGGACAGGCAGACAAUGUUGCUUUGCUGAACUAGGAUUGAGCCCUACUAGCAGGCGUGCCUUAUUGAGGAGCAUAUGCAAUGGUUUACAUGUGCAGGAAUGGGUGGAUGCAUUGGUAAAUAUGUGCUCGCUGUCAUAAUACAUCAGCAUUAGAAGUACAUUUCAUAUGCCCAUGGGAAUUCAUUGGUGCUUUGAUGACCUGCAUUGAGAGAUGGGAGAGUCAAAUGUGACUCUCUAAAGUUACACUUUGUUGAGUAAUCUGGAGUGCUAACCUCAGGUCGAAUAGGAGUCCAAUUUUCUGAAGUGGAUUAAAAAGAUAUGUCGACUAUCUUACACCCUUCUGUUCCAGUAUAUAUACGCACUUUGGGAUCCUUCUUAGAUAAUGGAGAAUGGAUGAAGAAUAAAUGAAUAACCAUUUUGCAGAAUGAGUAAUUGGAGUGGAAGGUCUGAUCCUUGGAUCUAUCUGAUUUACUGGGAAAUAUAGCAGAUAAUGACAUAUUUCAAGAAUAAUGCAGGCUCUGUUUGGAGUUUGCAUGGUUCAGUUCGUUAUCAUUGGAAAUUUAUUUGAGCCAAGAACUCAAGAUCACUGAAUUCGUCUGCACUACAAUGGGCAAAGAGUAGUUGGAGCUAUCUGCCUCAAGUGCGUAGCAGGGAUGGAGGGUUUGCACCGUUGCCGAAAAGGAACCCCCAUAAAAAAAAAUUGCACCAGAGAUGCAUCAUCCCUCUCCCCUUUGUACCAGGAGCCAAUGAGCGAUGAACAGCAGCUGACUAGUAGCAAUGCGCA